CGCGUAGGCGGUCUUUUAAGUGAGAUGUGAAAUCCCUGGGCUUAACCUAGGAACUGCAUCUUAUACUGGGGGACUGGAGUACUGUAGAGGGUAGUGGAAUUUCCGGUGUAGCGGUGAAAUGCGUAGAGAUCGGAAGGAACACCAGUGGCGAAGGCGGCUACCUGGACAGAUACUGACGCUGAGGCGCGAGAGCGUGGGGAGCAAACAGGAUUAGAUACCCUGGUAGUCCACGCUGUAAACGAUGAGAACUAGAUGUUGGUAGGCAUGACCUAUUAGUAUCGAAGCUAACGCGAUAAGUUCUCCGCCUGGGGAGUACGGCCGCAAGGUUAAA
rnacentral:rRNA from 1 species